UACGGAGGGUGCAAGCGUUGUUCGGAAUGACUGGGCGUAAAGCGCACGUAGGCGGGUUUGCAAGUCAGAUGUGAAAUCCCCGGGCUUAACCUGGGAACUGCACCUGAAACUGCAGAUCUUGAAUGCUUGAGAGGUUGGUGGAAUUCCUGGUGUAGGAGUGAAAUCCGUAGAUAUCAGGAGGAACACCGGAGGCGAAGGCGGCCAACUGGUGAUGCAUUGACGCUGAGGUGCGAAAGCGUGGGGAGCAAACAGG
rnacentral:rRNA from 1 species